AUUGAACGCUGGCGGCAGGCCUAACACAUGCAAGUCGAACGAGUGGCGGACGGGUGAGUAAUGUAUGGGAAACUGCCUGAUGGAGGGGGAUAACUACUGGAAACGGUAGCUAAUACCGCAUACCAUCAGAUGUGCCCAGAUGGGAUUAGCUAGUUGGUGGGGUAACGGCUCACCAAGGCGACGAUCCCUAGCGGGUAUGAGAGGAUGACCAGCCACACUGGAACUGAGAAACUGUCCAGACUCCUACGGGAGGCAGCAGUGGGGAAUAUUGCAAAAUGGGCGCAAGCCUGAUGCAGCCAUGCCGCGUGUAUGAAGAAGGCCGUCGGGUUGUAAAGUACUUUCAGCGGGGAGGCGUUACCCGCAGAAGAAGCACCGGCUAACUCCGUGCCAGCAGCCGCGGUAAUAC
rnacentral:rRNA from 1 species